GAUGAACGCUGGCGGCGUGCUUAACACAUGCAAGUCGAGCGAAGCACUUACCAUUGACUCUUCGGAAGAUUUGGUAAAUGACUGAGCGGCGGACGGGUGAGUAACGCGUGGGUAACCUGCCUCAUACAGGGGAAUAACAGUUAGAAAUGGCUGCUAAUGCCGCAUAAGCGCACAGUACCGCAUGGUACGGUGUGAAAAACCGAGGUGGUAUGAGAUGGACCCGCGUCUGAUUAGGUAGUUGGUGGGGUAACGGCCUACCAAGCCGACGAUCAGUUGCCGGCCUGAGAGGGUGAACGGCCACAUUGGGACUGAGACACGGCCCAGACUCCUACGGGAGGCAGCAGUGGGGAAUAUUGCACAAUGGGGGAAACCCUGAUGCAGCGACGCCGCGUGAAGGAAGAAGUAUCUCGGUAUGUAAACUUCUAUCAGCAGGGAAGAA
rnacentral:rRNA from 1 species